GGGUUGUGAGGUUAAGCGACUAAGCGUACACGGUGGAUGCCCUGGCAGUCAGAGGCGAUGAAGGACGUGCUAAUCUGCGAUAAGCGUCGGUAAGGUGAUAUGAACCGUUAUAACCGGCGAUUUCCGAAUGGGGAAACCCAGUGUGUUUCGACACACUAUCAUUAACUGAAUCCAUAGGUUAAUGAGGCGAACCGGGGGAACUGAAACAUCUAAGUACCCCGAGGAAAAGAAAUCAACCGAGAUUCCCCCAGUAGCGGCGAGCGAACGGGGAGGAGCCCAGAGCCUGAAUCAGUGUGUGUGUUAGUGGAAGCGUCUGGAAAGGCGUGCGAUACAGGGUGACAGCCCCGUACACAAAAAUGCACAUACUGUGAGCUCGAUGAGUAGGGCGGGACACGUGGUAUCCUGUCUGAAUAUGGGGGGACCAUCCUCCAAGGCUAAAUACUCCUGACUGACCGAUAGUGAACCAGUACCGUGAGGGAAAGGCGAAAAGAACCCCGGCGAGGGGAGUGAAAAAGAACCUGAAACCGUGUACGUACAAGCAGUGGGAGCCUCUU
rnacentral:rRNA from 1 species